rnacentral:rRNA from 1 species
GUCUACAUGAUCUCAUAUAUUUAGUCUAACCUGCCCAAUGAAGUUUGAAUGGCCGCGGUAUUUUGACCGUGCAAAGGUAGCAUAAUAAUUAGUUUUUUAAUUGAAAGCUUGGAUGAAAGGUUGAACAAAGAAUAAACUGUUUCUAUUUUUAAGUUUAAAGUUUACUUUUAAGUGAAAAGGCUUAAAUAAUCUUAAGAGACGAUAAGACCCUAUAAAUCUUUAUAAAUUUUUUUUUAAAAAUUCUUAUAUUGUUUAUUUUAAUUUAUAAAAAAAAAUAUAUUAUGUUGGGGUGACAAGAAUAUUUUCAAAAAACUGUUCUAGAUUUUAUACAAUUAUAUUUGUAGUUUAAUAGUAGACCCUUAAAUUAAGAUUAAAAGUUUAAGUUACUUUAGGGAUAACAGCGUAAUUUUUUUUGAGAGCCCUUAUCGAAAAAAAAGUUUGCGACCUCGAUGUUGAAUUAAAAUUUCUUUAAUUGAUGCAGAAGUCAUAAAAGUAAGUCUGUUCGACUUUUAAAAUUUU